rnacentral:misc_RNA from 1 species
AGCAGCCGCGGUAAUUCCAGCUCCAAUAGCGUAUAUUAAAGUUGUUGCAGUUAAAAGCUCAUAGUUGAAUUUCGGGAUCAAUUUAUCGGUCGUGCCAAUGGUAUGAACUGGUACAAUUGGUUUCUCCCUUCUGACGAAGCAUGAUGCCAUUAAUUUGGUGUCGUGGGGAAUCAGGACUGUUACUUUGAAAAAUUGAGUGUUUAAAGCAAGCAUUAGCUUGAAUACAUUAGCAUGGAAUAAUGAAAUAGGACGUUUGAUCCUAUUUCGUUGGUUUCUAGGAUCGACGUAAUGAUUAAUAGGGAUAGUUGGGGGCAUUAGUAUUCAAUUGUCAGAGGUGAAAUUCUUGG